rnacentral:rRNA from 1 species
GAUGAACGCUAGCUACAGGCUUAACACAUGCAAGUCGAGGGGUAGCAGGGUAGCAAUACCGCUGACGACCGGCGCACGGGUGAGUAACACGUAUCCAACCUUCCCAUAACUCGGGGAUAGCCUUUCGAAAGAAAGAUUAAUACCCGAUAGUACUUAUAUAGGGCAUCCUACAUAAGUUAAAGAUUUAUUGGUUAUGGAUGGGGAUGCGUUCCAUUAGAUAGUUGGUGAGGUAACGGCUCACCAAGUCUUCGAUGGAUAGGGGUUCUGAGAGGAAGGUCCCCCACAUUGGAACUGGGACACGGACCAAACUCCUACGGGAGGCAGAAGUGAGGAAUAUUGGUCAGUGGGCGAGAGCCUGAACCAGCCAAGUAGCGUGAAGGAUGAAGGUCCUAUGGAUUGUAAACUUCUUUUAUAGUAGAAUAAAGUGAUCCACGUGUGGAUUUUUGUAUGUAUACUAUGAAUAAGGAUCGGCUAACUCCGUGCCAGCAGCCGCGGUAAAAC